CUCUCGGCAACGGAUAUCUCGGCUCUCGCAUCGAUGAAGAACGUAGCGAAAUGCGAUACCUGGUGUGAAUUGCAGAAUCCCGCGAACCAUCGAGUCUUUGAACGCAAGUUGCGCCCGAGGCCAUUCGGCUGAGGGCACGCCUGCCUGGGCGUCACGCAAAACA
rnacentral:rRNA from 2 species